rnacentral:rRNA from 1 species
AUUGAACGCUGGCGGCAUGCCUCACACAUGCAAGUCGAACGGCAGCACGGGUGCUUGCACCUGUUGGCGAGUGGCUAACGGGUGAGUAAUACAUCGGAACAUGUCCUGUUGUUGGGGAUAGCCCGGCGAAAGCCGGGUUAAUACCUCCUACGAUCCACGGCUGAAAGCGGGGGACCUUCCGGCCUCGCUCUUUCCGUUUGGCCGAUGGCUGAUUAGCUAGUUGGUGGGGUAAAGGCCUACCAAGGCGACGAUCAGUAGCUGGUCUGAGAGGACGACCAGCCACACUGGGACUGAGACACGGCCCAGACUCCUACGGGAGGCAGCAGUGGGGAAUUUUGGACAAUGGGCGAAAGCCUGAUGCAGCAAUGCCGCGUGUGUGAAGAAGGCCUUCGGGUUGUAAAGCACUUUUGGCCGGAAAGAAAGCAUUAGAGCUAAUACAGUCGGGGGAUGACGGUACCGGAAGAAGGAGCACCGGCUAACUACGUG